AUGGGGACAAGGGUGUUUUGGCUUCCAUUUGUUGUCUUCUUCACAGUCGUCAGAGAUGCCCAAUCAGAGAUCCAGCUGGUGGAGUCUGGAGGGGAUGUCAAAAGGCCCAGCAAGUCCCUCCGCCUCUCCUGUCGAGCCUCUGGCUUCACCUUCAGCAGCACAUGGAUGAACUGGGUGCGCCUGGCUCCGGGGAAGGGACUAGAAUGGAUAGGAGAAAUUAAUGGAGGAAGUGCGAUGGGACGCUGUACCUUUGGGACUGGUCCGUUCCUCACAAACAUGAUACAUUCUGUCACUUUCUUGAUGAUUUUCAUCACCCCUCCAUAUGUUCUUUCCCAAGUCACAAUGGUGGAGUCUGGUCCUGGAACUGCAAAACCUGGGGAGUCCAUCAAACUGACUUGUACCGUUACUGGUUACACCAUCUCUAGCGGUUACAGCUGGGGAUGGACAAGGCAGGCUCCAGGAAAAGACCUAGAAUGGAUGGCAUCUAUCCUUUCCAAUGGGAUCGUUUUCGAUGCUGCCUCUUUCAAACCCAGAAUUUCCAUCUCCAAAGACAACUCCAAGAAUGAGUUCUACCUGCAGAUGAGCUCUCUCAUGGCUGCGGACUCUGCCCAAUAUUAUUGUGCAAGAAGCACAGAAAGAGGAAUAAAAGGAAAAACCAUACAAAAACGGAAAAGCCCUUUCUGA